UACGGAGGGUGCGAGCGUUAAUCGGAAUUACUGGGCGUAAAGCGCGUGUAGGCGGGCAUGCAAGUCAGGUGUGAAAGCCCCGGGCUCAACCUGGGAACUGCACUUGAAACUGCAUGCCUUGAGUGCCGGAGAGGAUCGUGGAAUUCCUGGUGUAGAGGUGAAAUUCGUAGAUAUCAGGAGGAACACCGGUGGCGAAGGCGGCGAUCUGGACGGUUACUGACGCUGAGACGCGAAAGCGUGGGGAGCAAACAGG
rnacentral:misc_RNA from 1 species